UGUCAAAGGAUGGGAAUCGAUCCCACGACCUUCCGCUUACCGGGCAGAUGCCAUGACCACUAGGCUACCCUGGAC
rnacentral:tRNA from 1 species